AGUAUUCAGCUAACCAUUAAAGAUGCUCUUAAAUUCUAUCCCCUUCUCUGAAUAUUUUUAUUCUUCCUCAAACUUAAAAACUUCUGUUUCUGCCUCCCUUCUCACUCCUCUUUUUACCCUCAGAAAUAUCGACAACAUUCAUCCUCAUCGGCGCCUGUGUCAGCGAUUUUGGUGCUGGGUAACCGACGCCGUCAACCAGGAUUGGAGUGUCGGUGAACUUGAAAUGGUUUCUUGAAGAAUUUGGAAGACCUGUUGUUUUUAUUUUAAUCUAAAUGCUGCUGAUUUCAAUCCGUCAUUUGAGUUGAGGAUGAAGUCGAAUUAACCACUCAAACAUCAAUUUUCUCACCAUUUCAAUCUAUCAAUUUUAUUCUUUUUAUUUUUUGAUCGAAGUAGUUUUUUUCUCUUUUUGGAAAGCAAAGAAUUGAACAUUUGUUAGACUUGAAACGAUGAUCAAGCGAGAAGAUUGUGUCCUUUCCUAGUGUGAUUGUGUUUUUUGUAAUUUAAUUUCAAUGUUAUAAGUACUCUGUAGUUGCUAAUCUUAAUGGUGGCAAAAACUUGUUCGUGUUUUGUACAAUCAGUUGAAAAUUAAUAAAGUUGAUUUAUUUUAA